rnacentral:rRNA from 1 species
GACGAACCGUGCGAACGUUAUUCGGAAUCAUUGGGCUUAAAGGGCGCGUAGGCGGGUCGACACGUCGGAACUGAAAUCCCCCGGCUCAACCGGGGAACGGGAUUCGAUACGGCUGGCCUCGAGGUGAGAAGGGGGACCUGGAACGUCCGGUGGAGCGGUGAAAUGCGUUGAGAUCGGACGGAACGCCGAUGGCGAAAGCAAGGUCCUGGACUCAUAACUGACGCUGAGACGCGAAAGCCAGGGGAGCGAACGGGAUUAGAUACCCCGGUAGUCCUGGCCGUAAACGAUGGGCACUGGGUAGGGGGCUCGCCGAUGGGCUCCCUGCCGAAGGGAAACCGUGAAGUGCCCCGCCUGGGGAGUAUGGUCGCAAGGCUGAA